GACGAACGCUGGCGGCGUGCCUAAUACAUGCAAGUCGAGCGAAGUUUUUCUGGUGCUUGCACUAGAAAAACUUAGCGGCGAACGGGUGAGUAACACGUAAAGAACCUGCCUCAUAGACUGGGACAACUAUUGGAAACGAUAGCUAAUACCGGAUAACAGCAUUAACUGCAUGGUUGAUGUUUAAAAGUUGGUUUUGCUAACACUAUGAGAUGGCUUUGCGGUGCAUUAGCUAGCUGGUGGGGUAAAGGCCUACCAAGGCGACGAUGCAUAGCCGACCUGAGAGGGUGAUCGGCCACACUGGGACUGAGACACGGCCCAGACUCCUACGGGAGGCAGCAGUAGGGAAUCUUCCGCAAUGGGCGAAAGCCUGACGGAGCAACGCCGCGUGAGUGAAGAAGGAUUUCGGUUCGUAAAGCUCUGUUGUUAGGGAAGAAUGAUUGUGUAGUAACUAUACACAGUAGAGACG
rnacentral:rRNA from 1 species